ensembl:lncRNA
CUACCUUGAAAUCAAAUUGGAAACUGAGUGGAAAAAUAGUUCUCCUCUUGACCCUCUCUGCGUUUAUACUCCAAUCUACGCCCAACGCAUGGCUUUGUUGUACACUCUGUAUGAGUGCCCUCUAUAAUUAAACCUUUAUUCAAAUCUCCUCCUGCCUUCUUCAUCACCCUUGGUUAGAUCAAAACAGGAGAGGCAAAAAAAAAAAAGAAACUUGUCUGGGGUGCAGAAGCAGAGAGGAAGAGAUACUAUUUAAUGAAGCAGGCUAACGGUGGUGGGGAGAGAAAGUCUCAGUUCUCCCAUCUCAGAAACAUUGAGCCUGGAAAUAUUGCUGAAAUCACAUUUGGGAACAAAGCUCCGCUUUAAGUAGGCUCACCCAUGAGUGUUGCUAAGCAAUGGAGAGAAGGCGAGAGAGGGAGAGCGCCUAACUUCAGGAUUAGAAGGAUAGAUAGAAGGAAAACCACUAAGGCUUCUAUGUAGCCUUAUUUAAAGUCAGCUUCCAAGUCCUAUGUUUUUCUUGCCUGUCUUCUGACCUAUUUGCACCACAAUUAGUCAAAUAUGGUUCAGUAUCACCACGCAUCCAGCACAGAGUUGCGCCGCGUCCUGGAGCUCUGGCACAAGCAGUUACGCACCAGAACUGUCAACAUGUCUCCACUUUGAACAGGGAAUUUAAGAGCAGUCUCUGAAGUCCUACAGAACUGACAAACUACUCAUUUAGAGAGGCUCCACGCUGGGUGACUCCCAUGAUCUCCUUUUCUUUACAAACAGCAUUUCUUUUAAAAAGGCAUUGCCACCACUGCUGGUUUCAACACCACAAUCCCAGAGCAGCGGCAACAGAGCCCACAAAGGAACGUGGUCCUGAACAAGUCAACAGGCAUGGGUGAAAGGUCUGCAAGCAACGUCACGCUCCAAACCUCAACAGUUCACUUUUCUUUUGCACCAGUAUUUCUAUUUUUGCUCUGUGGCAAAAAUACCCAGAGGCAUUGGUUGGAGGGAUUUUUAAUCUAUGAUUUGUUUAACUUCAAAACAAUAAAUAAAAACUAAAAAUCAAUUAGAGCAGCCAGGAAGAGAGAGUGCUGCUUUUGUUGGCUGGAAAUGAAGAAGUUUAAUGUAUCCUUUCCUAAACAAACCUCCUCUAUACAUGAUUUUCUUGUAACAACAGGCAGGCUUCAAAAGACAUUUGGAGGUUUGGUUCAGGAUAGGAACCCAAAAGUUGAGAAAAUUCAGUUCUCUGCAAAACAGAGCUGGAAGUCUUGAGAACAGCAUGAGUGAAAUUUCCAGUGCUUCCCAUGUCUGCUCAAGCAGAGACAGUACUGUUAAAACAACCUCUCAGGCUGCUUUUCAGGAAACUGGCUAUUUUCUGCUGAACCAGCCAGAAACCAUUAAGUUCAAUACAUAAAAUAAUGAAAAGAGAAGUUGGCUGCCCUCAAAGGUAAACAGAGGUCAAGGUGGAGCUUGGCAUGCAGUUAUUCUUUGGUUAAAGAAAAAAGCUGCUCCAUGCAGAUCUGCUCAAAUUAAAAGAAAUAAUUUACAUAAAGUUUAUGAACUCAUCUGUUCAUCUUCCAGAAGUAAUUCAGUGGAUGAGAUUAUUAGCAGGGCCAUUAGCAGAUCUGAACUCUUUCUAGGAAAAAAAAGAUGAUUUGUAUGUCUAAUAAAAAUGAAACCAUAAUGUUCAGUUUCAAUUUGACCAACUAAUUGUAUAUAUACUUUCCAAAUUAAUAAAAAUGAACUUCAGUAGGUUCUACUCAGCAUCAAACAAGCCAUACACGUGAGAAAAUUAUGAGUUAUCAGUAAGCAAUGAGGUUAAAAUGCAGUGAAUAAAUCACUUCCAGAACCUAGAAAAGAUUCUGCAGGAUAUCUCAUCCAGACAGGUUUGCUAUUCCUUCACUGACAGUACUACAUCCUCUGCAGCCCUAACAGCUCCUGUGUUUAGACACCCAGGGAAAGGGUUGGGCAUAUUCAUAGCAUAAAUGAAUAGCAGGAAUGACAGACAAACAAGAUGUUCUUUCAGAGGCCUUGACUGACCGACCUCCUUCACAGGCCUCAAUACAAAAUCCACUGAAGGAGCGCAGGUGCUCAAAACCAGUAUUUGCAGGCCUCAAGUUUUAGAGCACGUACGUGGAGUUAAUAAAACUACCAGGACUCAGCCACUAAGUACAGUUUUCCUCUUUCCCUUCUCACCCUGCAGACAAUCCCAUUUUAAUUACUGCCUAACUCUCCACAUAACUUCAUUCCUCACUGUAGUCUUCAUUAUUCUCUUUUCUAGCCUCUUUCUCACCCCAAGGCAAGACUGAGAAAGCAAGGACUGUCAGAGAAAGAAGUUGGAGGGGAAGCCCUUCCCCAGAAGCUUGGGACAGAACAGAACAGGUUUUCAGAAAUCCCCUGCUUUCUCAUCUCAGACGGUGCCAGAGCAAAUAGCCAGAGAAAGCAAACACCUGAGCCCACGGCCAGGCUCCCCCUCACACACCCCACCGGCCUCCGCAGGCUGGUGGAUGCGAUCAGACAUGUUCCUAGCUCCAAGGGAUCCCUGAGUGAUAGAUUUUACAUCUCAACCUUCCAAAAAAAAGGUGAAGGUGAUCAAUCAGAAGUGCUAUUUGUUAUCAGUCCUAAGAGCUGCUUACGGUGCUACUGGCGGGAGGUGUAUUUUAAAUUUCAUCACCCACUGGAUAUCUGUCUUCUGCCUCUGUUAAUUCCCAAGGCUGAUCAGAGCAAUCUAGCUAUACCUAUGGCCUAGAGAGAUUUUGGAGCAGUGCAAGUCAAAACACCCUUGCCUUGCAAAAACAUUAAAAAUAGAUACUUUGAUUGCACUUAAAAAGGAAGCAUGCUUUGACCCAGACAAGUCCAGGCUAGAUUGCCCAUGACCUUGACUAAUCUUUUCUUGGCAUGUUUUUGAGUGCAUCAUCUCCCUUGAGCACAGCACAUGCAGCACUCCCAGUUCCUAAUGCAGCUCUUUUUUUUUCCCCCAGGCAUGCUCAGAUGAAGAAUUUGAAGCUAGGUUUUCCUUUAAGGGCAAGGGAGGACUAGAAGUUUAGAUAUCCACAGUAAAAUUCUGGGGACGAAGGAGAAGAGUGUAAAAUUGCAAAGUCCUGAUUGUAUAAGAACAAUGAAUAAGUUCCCAGAGGGAAGAUUAGAACAAGAAAGAGUGAUGAUGCUAGGAAGGAGGAAGCACUGGGAUAGGAAUCACCUCUCAGAAGAAGCUCUGUAUCCCAGAAGCAAGUCAAUUAGGAUUCCUUCCGAAAGGAAGGGUGCUGAGGCUUCAUCACAAAGCAGUAUUAGCCUCUGGCUUUGCACCUUCCUGACCUGCCCCACAAAAGCACCUACAAUCAUCAGUUGAACUGGUUCUGUAAGCAUUUCAGUCCUUGGAAUUUAUUGUUCACUCUUUCUUAGACAAGAUCCCAAUGUAUUUUUGCUGAAUCUAGAUUUAUUUUGUGACUUAACGUGUUUGUGUUAAACCACAGAGACAUGUGACCUAAGCAGUGCCUGCCAUACAACAGGAUGCAGCAGCAUUUAGAUCACCCAGGUCAACUAAACAAGGAAGAACUGGAUACAAUUAUUCCAAAAACCUCAGCUGAGGUGUAAUAAGUUGCCCUAGCCAACAAAUCCUCAUCCUUGCCCUAGAGGCUAUAGUUCAUCAGAUACCUUAAUUCACAGUUAUGCAGCAACUUCUAUCCUAUGACCACAAAAGCCUCUUACAGACUGUACAUACAGAAUAAUUCAUGCAUACAUGCAUGCAAUUCAGCAGAUGUAGCCACACUAAAGUUGAAAGCAAUGUUACAUUCUCGACUCUUAGUGAAGUUUGAGGACAUGCUUUUUUAAGCCAGAUUUCUUCCUUUAACCAAAGAAGCACCACACGCUAAGUGGUAUAAAUUUUCUUAUGCAGGGAAUAAGGUCCUAAUUAUUGCUUAAUUUUGCCAGUUCCUAUGAAUCACCAGGAAAAGAUUAAAGCAAGAGUAAAUGUUGGUUCCUUGUCCUGUUUACAGUAAUCAGCUCAAACAAAGUAACUUGAGUCACUUACAUCAUUAGAAGGUGCAUAUGGUUACAUUUUUCUCAUUAAGUUUGCACAGAAGAAAGGAGAUAGAUGCCUGCAGACAGAACUCCCUGCAAACAACUGUUAGUCUGAUGAAUUAAGGAAGUCUAAGAACUCCAUGCCUGCCUACUAAUGCAAUGCUCUUUUUCUGAAGAUUCAUAUUUGAGCUGUUCCCCAUGACAGGUAUGAGUAGGGUGGCAGUGGAGAGUUAAGAACAACGCAGACAAACAGAAAACUGAGCCUUGCACAGACCAACAGCCUUAUAUUUAUCAGCAGCCAAAGACUUCUGUGGUGCAGCCAAGUAGCCAAUAAGUGAAAACCACCACCUACCAACCUCCCCACUGCAAAGUAUGUUUUAUCCUGAAAGCUGGCUACUAAAUUCAUUUUCCAGGAGAGCCUUAACAUAGAGAGCAAGUAACACUAAACGUACUACAUCCUGCUGGCAUUCCUUUCAUCCCAUAGGAUAAUACAAACUAUUUAAAUCAAGUAUCUAUGCCUUUUUGCUCCAUCAUUCUUUUUCUUAAGUGUCCAGAUGUUUGAUUAUUCCUCUCAUUGGUUAGAAGGAAACUGAGCCAGAAAAUCAGGAUGAAUAGCACGAGGAUGAGUGGGCACCAUUUCAGAAAGUCUGUGCCUUAAACCCAUUAGUAUUCACAAUGUUCAAGUGCCGUGAUACUCAAUUCAUUUUAUUGCAAUAACAAAAUAGCCUGUUUUGCCAUUAUAAGUCAGAUAAUCAAGGAUGUAAGCAUUUUACCUCUAAAAGCUUGCACAGCUAUACCACCAGUUGGUCAUUAUGGGUGUGCAAUAGUACUUAAAUAUUUCUUUAAAAGGGAAGUCCAGGUUUUCUUCCCUUUUGGCUCAACUCUUAUUUACUGAAAAUUAAAGACAUGUUAUCUCCUUAAAAGAAAUUGACAAUUACGAUGCCUUGCAAAAAGAUCUGGCCUUUGAAGUACGAAAUUCUGUUCCAGUGAAAGAAAUGCAGAAUAGUUCACAAACUCAACCAUAUGAAUCUUCACAGAACUCUGGAAUUACAACCACAAAGAGGUGUCUUGGUGUAAUCACCCUAUCAGUCCAAUCUGAAUGUCAAAAAGAGAAAGCUGAAAAGUUUGGGUUCAAAUCUGGCCUGCUUACAGGUCGCGUUAUAAAAUACCUCCACAUUUAUUGUAAAAAACCUCAAAGCUCAUUACUGUUUUCUUUUUCCUGUAAAUAAUCCAUUUCACCCCUUUGCCCAGAAGCAACCAACUUAACAGUGGAAUGCAGCAGCUUGUUCCUAACACAACUAUAUUGAAGCAAAAAAAAAAAAAAAGCUAUAUGCAACCAGAUCUAAAAAGAAAAAACACAAUCAUUCACAUGAGAUUUUGAACAAGAUGAGGGCCCGCUCAGUUCUCCUCCUGGAGAAGAAAAUAUCCCUUGACUUCAGAAUGAAUGACGGGAGAGGUUUUUUGAUCUGUGCAAUGCUGGCAAGGCACAGCCUCGCCUAAGCGCAAUGCCUGGACACUGGCUUGCUCCCAAGCCUGUGAACAUCACAGGCUGAAGGCACAGAAGUUUCUUAGUGCUCUUAGUUUCUGUAGCAAUUCCACGCAGUUUCUGCUUCCCAAGUAUGAUUAAAAAAAAAAAGUAUGCAGUCUUCCUUUUCUGCUCAUAAUCCCCAAAUUGUUUUGAAUUCAUCCAGUUGCUUGCUUACAAGAUUACCAGGAAUACUUUUAUUUCAUUCAGUUACAAAUCAAAGUCUGAUCAGCACCUUCUACUGAAGUUCAAUGAUUGAAAAAAAUCUUUUCCAAUCACUAAAUAGCAAUAACAAGAAUGCCGUUACUCCAACGAUUAAUGUUUUAAUAGAAAGAGUGCCCAGUUACCUAGAUUAAUCAUGUUAAAGGGAUUAAAAGGAAUGGUAUUUCUGCAUUACUUCCCUGGGCACAUUGCAUUCCUCUUCCAUUGAAUCCCUGUACAAUACUUUUUAAAUUACUACCAACUUAAAGAGCAAAUGUUGCUCUGAGUAUAACCGGGAGAGUUACUGGUAAUUCCUUUCCAAUGGCAGUUGUCAAAGAGGUUUGAUCUUGAACAGUAAUUGCCACUACACGUUUAACAAAAUGAUUUAUGAUCAAACUUCAUAACUCUAUGUACACCAUUCUUAGACACUCGCUGCAGCAACCAGCAUGUCUUCUCGUGUCUGUCUUCUAGUGUCUUCUGGAAAACACAGUGUUUUCUAAAAACUGGAGAACUCCACCAUUCCGUGACAGCAGUAAUAGUCCUCAGCCAUCUCAACUUGCUAGACAGAUUUUUUUCAGUGCUAACUUUGCUGAAGACUACUUUGCAGUCUUUAGUUUGGUGUCUACACAUGCCAAGCACUUCUUAGCAACAUCUUUCUACUUCCCAACACCAUGAAAAACUGCCAAGUUGCAUCAACUUCCUGUUCUACAGUAAACUAAACCCUCCAACCAGCCCAUCACCCUUCCCUUACCACCCCCUUUUAAAAAAUAAAUAAAAAGAUUAAAUUUCCCCUCAAAAAAUAAAAUAAAAUAAAAAUCACACCUUCCAAACACCCACAAGACUUGAAAUGUUUUACAAUGGAAAGUCUUAGAUUGGUUUACAACUAACUUGCUUUCUUUUCUCCUCCAGCUUGCUACAUUCAGCUGAUCUCUCAAAAUUUUCAUUGUUUGACAGAGCUGUUCAAACUUUAGAAUCAGUUUUUAGCAAAUGCCUUCACGAGUCCAAGUGCUGGCUUUGCUGCUUCGUUGUUUGUUUGUAUGAUGGUGACUCAACCAUUAGAUACUCAGAGUAUUUCCAAAUGAGAGAAGUUCUACAGAUAUCAGUAUUCCACAAGAGACAGCACUUAGCAGAUAUUAUCUUGUAAUGCUUUGCACGACCUAUUUGUAACUAGUCAUUUAGCUUUCAAAGAUAAAAUAGAAGCCAAGCAGUAAAAAAAGAGAAGUCUUUGCCAUCCAUCUAGAAAUAACUCCUAAGCUUAAGUGUGAGCCAAAGUGGCUAAGCACUCACCAGAGUUAAAAGUUACCAAGCUGCCCAUGAUGAAAAUUACUAAAAUGUAUUUGUGACUAAAACUGUUAAUUAGCAGUCAACUUUCAUUUGAGAUUAGAAAAGUGGGAGCAUUUGCCAGCUCCAGCCCUAUCCUGCAUUCACCUGUGAGGGAAAGCUGACCAAAAUGUCAACGAAGCUUUGUGAAAUCCCAGUACAUUACAGAACUAUCUUCAGUAGAACAUGCAAAUAGUACUGGUGGUUCAUUCACAGCUCUCUACACAGCUGACUACUAUAAGGAAAAAGAACAUUUUUUUCCCUGCUGAUCAUGAGGUUUUACAGGAAGAGCUCCAGUGCUCCCUUAACCUGUAUAUUCUGAAGUCCAGUGCUGCUCCCAAUUAGGCCAGGGUAAUAACUCAGUUUUUAACUGGAUUUAGGCUAUUUCCUGCUUUGUUAUUCAAGGCCAAGCAGGCCUGCGUUCUAGUGCAGCAGCAGUCCUACUGGCAGGCCCAUUAACAAAUCAGCAGAAGCCCAUCCAUCCAAGUAAAUUUCAGAACCAUUUGACUUCGAUUUAAACAUCUCCCUCUAGUCCUGAGCAACGUUUUCCUCUAAGACAUUCUUCAAACACUUCUUUCCAGCAUUACCAAUUGGGUCUAGACGUUACUCUGCAUUUUAAAAUGAGGUACUGAGUUUCAGGCCAUACCUCUGCCCAUGACAGAAGGGCACUGAUGACAGGCACAAAACUUAAGAGGUGUUACAGAGCAUUUUACCUCUUAAGCAGAACAACUCCCAGAUGUGUUGAGCAAAGAGAUAGAAAGAAUGAGGCAGUUCAGAAGGCAAGCAGCAAACAGAGGAGUUGGAUAUCCUGACAAAGCAGAACCAGACAAUUCAAAUUGUUUUCAAAUAUUUUUUCUUUCCUUACCAAUGAAAAUUAUGAGAACAAAAAGAGAAACUCAGCAUGUUUUUCCUUUUCCUAUAAACCAGCACCAAACUACAGACUUCCUCCUUUUAAUACUGUUAUCCAACAGGUAACUGCAGCAUGAGGGGGGAAAAAGACGAAUGGGAGACUAAGAACUGAUUUAUAUUAGGAAGAUUAUCAGUAACAUUUGCACAGAGGUAAAAGUAGAUAACAGCACGAUGAAUGUCAACUAGAAAUAGCAAAGAUGGUGCAAAUGACAUCUUGAUUUCAUCAGUCUGCUAUUACAUCAGCCCUUGGCCACUAACAGGCAACAGUUUUUUUUUUCUGGAAAUGGCAAAUUUGCACUUUCGGUAUAUGCAUGCCUGGAUGGAGAAGACAGAAGACAACAUGUUUAAGAGAGCAUUUUGGUAUUGAAGUACAAAUGCUUAUACUGUUAUCCUUUGCAAUGAGGAAAGAACUGUUCUGCACUUCUUCAGUUACAGCUCACCACUUAUCCUAAAAACAAGACUUCCUGGAAGAGAAGUGAAAAGACUUAUAAAUUGUUUAUCUCUUUCAGAGCUUAAAUCAGCAACUUUAUAUCUUAAGCCGUAAAUUAUAGUAGCUAUGCUAUCUGUUGUAGUCUGGUUCUAUAAAAAUAUCAUCAUUAAUGGUCAUCACCACUCGCCUCUUUACAUCUUCUGUCUGGUGAUAGCUUUCCUCAUAAAGAAGUAAAUAAGCCACAGAGCAGCCUGAUCUGUCCUCCACGUAAUUGCAGUAACCCAUUACCUGCUUCACAACAUCACGUAGGUAGCCCCAUCAGGGACAAGGACCACAUUAUCCUAGGUACAGUGCAAACAAACCAGAAAAGACAAUCCUUGCCCCAAAGGCAUCUUAGUGUAAGCAAAAAGGAAUCUAAUGACAAAACCAAGCUGGAACUGACUCCUGCACAGAAGAUAAAAGAAAAGUAGGACUUCAGUAGGGUAAAGACCUUCAGCAAUUUUUCUUCCUUAGGUUAACUUUUUCCUGUAUUAAAUGUAGCUCCUGUAUCAAAUGCAUUUUUUCUGUCCUAAAUGUACUGAAUAUUAGAAGUUGUCAUGUCCUCAUAUAGAGCAAAAUAAAAUAACCUCAUCUCAUGUAACAAGAGCUAAUAAAAAAAGACUUAAAAAAUUUUAAAUGAACUCACCAAUUGUUAAUCCUAAAGUAUCAUAGUUUACCAACAGAUAUUUACAUAGCAGAAGCACAGCAGAUACACAGUUGGCACUAAUGAUCUUGUAUCUAUACGGUAAGAGGUUUCCAAAACUGACAGUGGCACUGAGUAGGUCAGAGUUAACCCUGAACGUCAGACUUCCCCAGGAGGUGUUGUGUGAUAUCUAAGGACAUGUUCCCCCCCUGCCCCAGAAAAGCAUUAAAACUGAUACCUUCCCUGGGCUCUGCCACAUGAUUGCCUUGGACCUUUGCGCUCCAAUGCGCCCUCCUACACAGAGACCAAUGCAAGAUCACCUUAACAGCAGUGUGCUCCUUCCGUCAUCCUUCACUGACACCAUGCCAGGGAAACUGAAGAUUACAGACACCUCAAAUAAAUUAUGUUAAGGUAGGAAAGAUAUUUUCUGAAGUCAUUAAACAUUGUUGAGAGAUGACUAGCCCAAGGGCUCAGCACCAACAAGACUAUAGAUGGACAAGUGGUUCCUCCUUCCGUUUCUCAAAUUCAUCCCAUGAAGAUGAAUCUAAAAAUACCCUGCAUUUGCUAUAUGGACAUAGAUUAAGCAUUCUUAUCCCAAAUCUACGAGUAACCUAAUUGGUGGGACUGCUGUAAUUAUUCACACAAUUUCAUCGCAAUUUCCUCCACACAAAAAUGUUAAAAAGUAAUAGAAAUGUUUUAAAAGAAAAUAAGAUUGGCUGCAUCUACAGUGGAAGUCUCUUAUAUGUUUAUUUUGACCUUUUUAAUUAAAAGACUAAAUUUUGCUAAAACUACAGGUACCACAAAAAGAAUAAUCAUUGAAUCAGAGAUUUGAAUACAAAAAUACAAAAUAGGAAAGCAGUUCUCUCACAUAAAGAGCCAAAGUCUUGACAGUAAGGUGGAAGACUGUUAGAAAGAAGCAUGAGGUCAAGUACUCAGAAUGCAAAUAAUCCACCCAGACCUAGGAGUUUAUAUCCACAGUAACCACACUGAGAUAUCUGCCAAAGUUCAACUGCAGCUCAAGUUUCAGGGGGGGGGGGAAAGAAAUGCACAACAGAAAACAUCCAUUUAGACUCAAAAAGAGCAGCUUUAAAAGAUGCAAGAGCAACAUCUCACAACUAGAAACUGAAUCUGUUUUAGUAAAGCACAGCUUUUCAUGAACAAUAAAGUACCACCCUGAUGUCCUAUGAAACGUAGCUCAGUCAUGAAGUCCACCCGAAACAUUUGCUUACAACAUUUGCUUUUGAAUUUUAAAAAAGUCACAGCACCAUUUAACUAACUAAUCUGAGGCAACCACAUACUACAAUGAUAGCCACAGGAAGCAAAACCAAAAGGACAUUCUAAGAAAUGGAUGGGCUAAAAUACUUCAUUUCUUCAUAUUACUGCAGUAUUCGGGAGACCUAAUGAACCCAGAUCAUACUGUGCUAGACACGACUGUUCAGCCAAUUUAUAAACCAGACAUGCCUCUCAGUGAACAAAAG